GGCUCUGUGGCCUAAUGGUUAAGGCGUUGCAUUUCGGUUUGGAAUUACUGCAAAGAUUGGGUGUUCGAAUCAUCCCAGAGUCG